rnacentral:rRNA from 1 species
AUUGAACGCUGGCGGCAUGCUUUACACAUGCAAGUCGAACGGUAACAGGGUGCUUGCACCGCUGACGAGUGGCGAACGGGUGAGUAAUGCGUCGGAACGUGCCGAGUAAUGGGGGAUAACGCAUCGAAAGGUGUGCUAAUACCGCAUACGCUCUGAGGAGGAAAGCUGGGGAUCGAAAGACCUGGCGUUAUUCGAGCGGCCGACGUCUGAUUAGCUAGUUGGUGAGGUAAAGGCUCACCAAGGCGACGAUCAGUAGCGGGUCUGAGAGGAUGAUCCGCCACACUGGGACUGAGACACGGCCCAGACUCCUACGGGAGGCAGCAGUGGGGAAUUUUGGACAAUGGGCGCAAGCCUGAUCCAGCCAUGCCGCGUGAGUGAAGAAGGCCUUCGGGUUGUAAAGCUCUUUCGGCUGGGAAGAAAUCGCAUCUCCUAAUACGGGGUGUGGAUGACGGUACCAGCAUAAGAAGCACCGGCUAACUACGUGCCAGCCGCCGCCGUAAUAC